AAGCUAAUUGAAGUGUAAAACGUAACGGAACAGUUAGUUGAUGCAAAGAAAAUUUGUCUCGUCAAAACUACAAUAUUGUAUUGUCUCAGAAUUGCUUUAUGACAUCAAGUUCUACGAAGAACUAAACUUGUAAUAUGAAUUCAAACUUUAUUCCGAGCACUGAAAACAAAAACAAGUACUGACAAACGGCCCGAUUCGCACUUUAAGAUACGUCAAACAUAUCCAAUCCAUAUCGUAUCUUUAGGAAAUAUCAGCGCGCCAAGCGGGGCGUUUUGGAGACUCAAAAUCCCAUACAAAAUGAGAUUUAACGCAAACGCGUUUGUCACGUUUCGUUAUCGAAUAAAUUUACACUAGGGGUACUGGUCACGAGUUCGUCCUCAUAGAACCUAAUGAUGAAAAGAAAAUUAUCAAAAGCAAAUAAAGGCAGGUAAAAUUUAAUAACACAUUUAUUAAAAAUGCUUGAUACGAGUAUAAGAUCUAUGUGAACAAGCUCUAUCAAAAUAGCUCACUGCGAAAUAUUAAUUAAAACGUAGUAGCACCCCAAAGCAUAACAACAGCAACAUCCACCUUAUAACCUCUACAGGAAAUGAAAUCGUCUAUGUGAAUCGAAAUUAAAAUGAACGAGCGGCUGCACAUCGAAUUGCGGAUUGAUUGCGGAGAGUCGGUCACGUUUAGGCUUAUACAUAGUUAUAGAAAAAUAAGCACUUUUAUUGGUCCAGUUUUUAGCGUUUAACAUAUAAGUUUUAUUUUCAUCGUGACCACUAAACAUAACUUUCUUAUUAACUUGUAAAAUAUAAAUACUGCAUAAAGGCCACGUAGCUAAGCAACCUUACGACACUACACAAUAGAAGGUAAAUCACCAAAAAUUGACAAAAACCUAGUACUUGGAAGUCGACAGACAUAACGUCAGACAAUGAAACCAAAUUAUGCAUUUAAAACCAUACACAAAAAGAAGUUAAGGGCUUCGAAUAAGUAUCAGAUUUUUGGUAAUUUCGGAAAAAAACAUUAAAAAAAUCGUAUCUCCAGAACAGAGGCUCCUAGGACCAAGAUAACAAAGACGGAAAGGAAGGAAAUUACACCACCUACACCCCAAAAAUUUUUGAUGGAUCAUGUGCCAAACACCUGUAUAGGUGUUACUGCUUAAAACUCGAAAGAUGAAGAACAAAAUUACGUCUUUGUAUUCUGCGCCUCGGGAGCAACGAGUAAGAAAAUAUUGAAAAACGAAAAUAAAGGAAGGUAAAAUGUAAUAUUACUGUCAGAAAGAUCAUUAGUUGUGACUAAUGAUGCUUAAUGAUGAUUGUCUUUUCCUCAUUCAUCAUAUACCUUAUACUUACAUUUAUUUACAGACACCAACCGGCGCAGACACACAGGGCAGACUCCGUGGACACUAAAGGAGGCAGUUAGCAACGAUUGUCAUCUUGUCUACGCACCCUGGGAUAGCAGUAGGGUUGCUAAGACAAAACUAUGACUUUAUGACAAGCCCAUAUCGCACGCACACAUACUCGUACUUAUUUACCCAUUCACCACUCAGCCCUAUUGUUUGUCUAGAAUGUGUGUGUAAACAUGAGGAAAACGGCGUGUUAAGAAAUCACAGCAUUAUCUAGCGACCCUGACUCUGCCUAUCUACGAACUCUGUGGUUUAAUCUACUUGCAGCAAGCUCAGGAGUGUAUCGAAUUUUAUUUUAGUAUAUUACUCGUACCGUCCACUUUUCUAGAUUUCUAACCGGUGUACAUUAUUGUGGUCAUAUCUUUAGAAUCACGUCGAAUAUAUAUUGAUUUGAACGAG